ACUGAUAUCUGUGUUGUUUUCACGUGUGCUGUGUGGAGAAAGUCAUGGAAGAUGCGUUAAAUAAGGCGUUACAAAGAAUUUCUGACCUAGAAAGUAUAGCUAGGACUCCUAGUAUAUCUCAAUUUGGAAGGGAAAGCGUUGCAAUGUCAACAAAUAGUAGUUCAACGGCUAAUGCAACUACAAGAACGAGCGUCCCAGAGGAAAUUUCUCGACGGUUUCCAAGCCUACGUAGGCCUCAAGCAUCCCCUGAAACAUCAGUGUCCCGCACAGGACGAAGAGAACAGCAUUUUUAACAGGCCGCCACUGGUAGAAAAAAGUCAAGCACCAGUGCUCGUAGAAACAAUAAAUAUUCAAAGCCUGUACUGAGAGACUUGGUUCUUAUCCCCAAUCCAGAAGAAGCUGUGCCCACGCGUUCCACAAGAGUUAUGUUGGAUAGUAAAGGCUUUGUGGUGCACAGCUUUCCUUUUCAACGUGAGUGGGAUACACAAUUACUAACACGUAAACUUGCGGAGGCAUUUCCAAAGUAUGCUGUUAUGCUUUGAGUACAUUAAAGCAUCUUAUGGCAAACUCAUCAAACCAAACCUUGCACCAGGAGUGGAAAUGACUGGUAACCUUUUGCUUAAACUUUCUGGUCAAGGAUCAGUCUACAUUCGUUCCUAUGAGUGCCUGGAUGAAGAUAGUGAUUAUGAGAGUGCUCUGGUGGAUUCACAGAAGGCUGAUAAGUCUAGUCCUACUCAUGGUGAGACUUUAGACAUCAUUGAGCAACAAACAUAGUUGACGAUGAUGCUCACCAGCAGAUUUCUGAGGUUGGCGGUCAGUCAAAUCUGUCAACCAAUUUAUCUGUUGAUGUUGCUUACAACAUUACUAUCUCUGAUGAAAUGGAUGCCAUUGUAAAUCCCGAGUAUGGCAACGAUUCCUUACCUCUUGAAACACAAGAUCGAGAACCAUUCCAGAAUGUUGAAUAUUCUGAUAUUCAGGGACCUUUAGAAAUUCAAG